AUCUGCCUCCACCUUCUCCUCAGGGAGCUCUUCCUGGAACUGGGAGGGGGGAGGGAGAUCACCACCUCCCAGUUUGCCACGGACCCUCAGCGAGGCGAGGAGAAUUGUAGGAGAGCUGAGGAGAGGCGCCACCCUGAGUGACAGGAGGAAGCAGGCCCCCCUGUCACCCUCCACCCCCUCCUUCCCAGGUCUCACGGGGAAGAGCCGGAUGAGCACCGGGAACCAAAACUCCCCAUUGCUUCGGACUUUCGGGAGAUCUGGGCGGUGCUGGCGGGCUGUAGUCCAGGUGAGAGACGGCCGCCGUUUCUCACGCUGCCCCUGUCGCUUGCAGAGAUGCACAGAGCCGCGAGCGACUGAAUCGAUGUAACGUGAGCUUCUUCACACCCUUUUCUCUCUGUUUUCUGUGUCUCCCUCUGACACCCUCUUGCCGGCUUGGAUUGAAAAUGCCACCAUUGUCAAUUUUCUCCUUUGCAGAGGAGCCAUUGAUGGAGCGUAGCCUCACGCUGCGGCGAGGCGUCUUCAAUCAAUGCACUGGCCACUCUCUGUGUAUGUGUAUGUUUCUGUUUGCCACCGGAGCCUGAAGGGGGGCUGCUGAUGGCAGCGGCGAUGGCCACGGUGGUGAUGGUGGUGGUGAUGAUGAUACGAUGGCAGUGGCGCCGCUCACGUGCUUUCUGGCUUAGCUCCCCUGUUUACUGACAGACUCUCUUCGGUGACGGGUAUUCUUGGGUGGAUAAUACAGAUCACGUUGUUAUUGCUUAAGAAUACGCGUAGUCGAGGAGAGUCCUCUCUUCGCCCAAUACCCCUCAGCCCCACCCCCCGCACUCACCCACCUCACCUCCCCCCCGACAAAACACCACCCAACCACGGAGGUCUGUCAGGUUGGGUGAAGCCACACCUCCACGCUCCACCUUCCUAUAAAGAAAACCCAUCUCUUCUUUGAUUUCCGCUGCAUCCCGCUGUCUUGCCUUCCCGCCCACUUCCUGUGUGCUGAGCCACGGUGUGAGGUCGACAGUGUCCUCGUGUCUGUCCCACCAUGCAUCUGUCGGUGUGUCUCUGUCUGCGAGGCGUGGCGUGUGGAUGCAGUCUUUCAGUGUGUGUGUUGUUCUUUGAGGGAAACGCUGGAUUGUUAGACGUGUGCAUGUGUGCGUGUCUCUGCAAACCCAGCCUGGCAGCAGCGGCAGCAGCAGCCUGAAGCCUUCCCAUCAGGAAGGACGCAUUCUCCCACGCGAGCAACAGGUUUCUGUGCUGAGCUGGAUCUGCAUUAAUGCUCCCGCCUGGCACGCUGUGUGCCGACAACACGAAACAAGCAAAGAUAAGGCGCCAGAUUUAAACAUAGGAACUAAAGCGCGGCUCAUCAGGUGUAAUAUCUUUACAUCUUUCAUUUCCUUGGUCUGCACUGGACCGGCUGCACCUUAGACUCCAGGGCUGUGUGUGACAGGUGCACACUCACACUGGGUAUGCAGAAGAAAGGGGUUUUUGGUCCUUGAAGGUUUGGAAAUUAGUCAAUUAAUAAAAAAGAUUAUUAGCACAAUUGGAGAUAAAUGAUCUGACCACGCCUCCAAACACGCCUCUAGCUCUACAAGCUUCUCGUUCUUGUUUUCUUGCCCUUUUUCACUUCUUCUCUUCUCAUUAGUAAACAGGGAUCCCUCCAGUGCUUUCCCCAAACUAAUCCUUUAUCUGCUAAAAACGCUGUCAAAGCUAAAAUAAGGACGUGGGCCCAGCCUGUGAAUGCAUCAUCGAGGAGCAGGAUGAAGGCUCAAUUCUGUCUGACACCGAAGAUGCCAACGACACCGAGAACAUACUGCGAGUGUGUGGUGAUGGCUUCAGACUGAGCGUCAGUCCUCGUGUGCACACGCUGCAGCGCUCUGUGCUAAACAAAAACUACCAUAAAAGCUGUGUGAUUAAGUUUGGCUUCAUUAGAGUGUGACAGCGUGGGCCUGUAAUAUUUACCGAGGGGCCAGUGGACGUCCACCGGCUGCAGCCACAGAGUGGAACCUCUUUUCUUCAGCUCCGUGCAUUUAUUCUGUGCUGAGCUGCCUCUUGUGUUCCCCCUUUUUUAUGCAAAUGGCUGCUCAAAUGGCAUUUAUCGCAGCGAGGUUUACGCCACAUGUAACACCGCUGCUGCCGCCGAGCCUCACACACACUCGCGCACGCACACACUCGUAGCUGAGAAAACAAAAUGUCCACCACGAGCAGUCGACAGCUCAAUUUAUGCACUGAGGAAAGCGGCGUCUGGAUAAACAAUUACCCCUGGCUCAAACGGUCUAUAACCAGCUUUCUCUGCGUCGCCAGCCGGGCCGAUACAUCAUGAAUAUGGAUUCCAUCUCCAUGUCUGAUGGCACAUUCUGAACCUUAACAGCCGUGUAAAAUCCAUUUAAACACUUAAUAGGAUCAGCUUGAGUCAUACAGCCACGUCCUCACAUGUAGCGCCUCCCGUCAUUGUGUGCCGCAGAUCCUCGCGCUUUUCCAAGCCUUUAAGAAGCAGUUUCUGAGCUUUGCUGCCACGUCGGAUAGAAAAGUUAGCCGCAGAGUCACUUAGACAUGCUUGUGACUGUAAUUAUACAAAUCAUCCCAGUCAUUACCGCUGCACAUUAUUCCAAUAAUGCAAUUAAUGCUUAACACUUGGCUUAGCUGAUAAUUAGCGCUCCUUUGCUCGUGGAAACAAACAGAGCAACAUGCUUAAAUGUGUGUAGGAGGAUGUACACCACGUCCACUGUGCUCUCGCUGUUUGCUACCUGCAACUGUGUUUGUUGCUGCUGCGGGGCUUCAGCUGUCAUCUCAUGUUGCAUCGUGUAAACACCUUCCAUCCAGCUCCACCGCUGCGCCGUUAGCCUGCGAUGAUUCCUUUGUUUGCAUUAAAAAGCAAACAGGUGCAUCGAGGCAGUCGACUGAUUUUGGACUCUUCAGCGGUGUGUGAUGAGCACACCGCGAUGUGGUGUAAAGUGUUGUGUUAGUCGCUGUGUGUGCCAGCCUGUGUUUGGACUGUUUCAAAAGAGCUGCUCUGCUGUGAAACCCACUGUUGACAUGUCCUGUCAAAUGCAACGCUCGAUUUCUUUGAGGCGUGGAUGAAUGAGGCAUUGUGUGCUGAGAGUGACGCCUAUCUAAAGUGCAUGUGUGCUCCUGUGCUCGUGCACGAAUGCUGUUGUGCGCUGACGACGCGCUGCUGCAGCUGCUGAUGACUACGGUGAUCCCUUUAAGCUAACCGCUGUUUUCAACACAUGUGAGGUUGUCCUGUAUGUGUGCCUUAUUUCUGUCAAUAAAUUGUGGCUGUAAAUACAAAUAAAUCCGUCUCUUCAAAUUGAA